rnacentral:rRNA from 1 species
GAUGAACGCUGGCGGCGUGCCUAAUACAUGCAAGUCGAGCGAACGGACGAGAAGCUUGCUUCUCUGAUGUUAGCGGCGGACGGGUGAGUAACACGUGGAUAACCUACCUAUAAGACUGGGAUAACUUCGGGAAACCGGAGCUAAUACCGGAUAAUAUUUUGAACCGCAUGGUUCAAAAGUGAAAGACGGUCUUGCUGUCACUUAUAGAUGGAUCCGCGCUGCAUUAGCUAGUUGGUAAGGUAACGGCUUACCAAGGCAACGAUGCAUAGCCGACCUGAGAGGGUGAUCGGCCACACUGGAACUGAGACACGGUCCAGACUCCUACGGGAGGCAGCAGUAGAGAAUCUUCCGCAAUGGGCGAAAGCCUGACGGAGCAACGCCGCGUGAGUGAUGAAGGUCUUCGGAUCGUAAAACUCCGUUAUUAGGGAAGAACAUAUGUGUAAGUAACUGUGCACAUCUUGACGGUACCUAAUCAGAAAGCCACGGCUAACUACGUG